GUCUACAGCCAUACCACUUUGAACGCACCCAAUCUCAUCUGAUCUUUAAAGCUAAACAGGGUCGGACCUGACUAGUACUUGGAUGGAAGACAGAUCUUCAGAAGAGACUGCUCAGAGACUAGCAAUUUGGAGACA
rnacentral:rRNA from 1 species